rnacentral:rRNA from 1 species
UACGUAGGUUGCGAGCGUUAUUCGGAUUUACUGGGCGUAAAGCGCACCGAGGUGGCUUCUUAAGUUGGAUGUGAAAUCUCCCGGCUUAACCGGGAGGCGCCAUUCAAUACUGAGGAGCUUGAGGCCAGCAGGGGAAGGUGGAAUUCCCGGUGUAGUGGUGGAAUGCGCAGAUAUCAGGAGGAACACCCGUAGCGAAGGCGGCACUCUGGGCCGAUACUGAUACUGAGGAGCGAAAGCGUGGGGAGCGAACAGG